rnacentral:tRNA from 2 species
GGGCGAGUGGUGAAAUUGGCAGACACGCAAGACUUAGGAUCUUGUGCCGCAAGGCUUGCGGGUUCAAAUCCCGCCUCGCCCA